AGUCACUGUUGGUAAAGCAAAAGGAAAUGUAUUGAAAUAAACUCUGAGAAAGUUCAAGUGGGAGGGACAUGAAUAUAAGCAAAGAUAGUUAGUAUUCCUUGGUAUAUGCAUUUUCCUAUCCUUCCAUACUAAAAGCACCCCCUGUUAUUUAUAUGGGAAAAUAUAAAGUCUAUAUUUCCCAGACCUCCUUUACUGUUAGUACAGCCACGAGCAGAAACGCCAUGUAGCAAUGCCUAGGAACCUCCAGUGAAGACAUGGGAAUAGUUCUUUGAUCACCUUUCUUCUUUGUUCCUCCUUCCAUCCUGCUACUGGAAUGUAGAUAUGAUGACUGGAAUGCUAGCUGCAAUCUUGGACUAUGAAAAUACACCAAGGGUUGGAGGAACAAUGUGCUAGAUGGAACUUAAUCUCAAAAGGCUUUAUGGACAUUGACCUUAAAGAGCUCACCUCUGUACUUCAAUGUGAAAGAGAAAUGAAUUUAUUUUGUUUAGCUAUUGCUUAACUAGGUUUUGAUUACUUGGAAUGACACUGAAUUUUAACAUGAUAUAGCAGUGUCUCCCACCAAUUUAACACUGUAUUUCAAAAAGAAAACGAUAAAUGAUAAACUGGGGAGAUAUUACAAUGAACCUUUUUUUACAGCAAAAAUUUGGUUUUUAACAAAUCUUUAAUUGGAUUAUGAGGAGAUUCUUAAUAGCCUAAAAAGACUUUUUGGACUAAGGAAACUAUGACUGCUUUACACAGCCAAAAACUCACUGGCUAUAUAUCUGCAACUGAAGUCCUGGAAGUAACAGCCUCUGAAGUUUGUGAGAAUUCUCAGGAUGUCUGGAAAUUCAGUGGAGACCCCUCCAGGCCCCACUGCUACCUGCUUUAUAUAGCAUUUAAUGGAAGUUUAACAGGGAGUGGAGAAAGGUUCCAUUUAGUGAAAAGAGUAGGAGGAAGAAUUUAUAAGAAAUGAGAUACAGUCUAGCAGGGUAGUAAACGCCAAUAUAACCUGAAUGGAGAUCAGUCCCAAAGACUUAUGAUCAACAGGACAAUAUGAUGGUAUGUGAAUAAAUGACCAAACAGAAGGGAGCUAACCAGGAAUUGGCUUCUGAAGACCAGUGUUAAUAUAAGAAAAGGAAACCCACUUCAACAGACCCCGAGCAACUCCCCAUUAGAAAAAUUAAACUGAAAACAAAGGACCAAAGAUGGAUUUAACACCCAAAGAGGGAAGUUCUGAAAUUUAAGGCUGGAGAUGGGACCCAGGGCAUCACGCAUGCCAAGCAGGUGCUCUACCGCUGAGCUGUACAUCCCUUCUCUGUCAUUUGCUUUUAAUAAAGAAAUUUUCUUCUAUUUUUUUAAAAAAAUCAGCUAUUUUAUAGAUGUUAUUAUAUUCAAAACUAAAUUUUAAUAUAAAAAAUAUGUUCUUAAGAAUUAAACUGAGGAAAGCU